CCCUGGUUAGCUCAGUUGGUAGAGCGCUCCACCUGUAAUGGAGAGGUCCCGGGUUCGAUACCCGGACCUGGCG
rnacentral:tRNA from 1 species